rnacentral:rRNA from 1 species
AUGAACGCUAGCUACAGGCUUAACACAUGCAAGUCGCGGGGCAGCAUGUCGGUUGCUUGCAACCGAUGAUGGCGACCGGCGCACGGGUGAGUAACGCGUAUCCAACCUGCCCUUCACCACGGAAUAAUCCAGUGAAAAUUGGUCUAAUACCGUAUGAGGUCAUACGAUGGCAUCAGAAUAUGACGAAAGGUUUAGCGGUGAAGGAUGGGGAUGCGUCUGAUUAGCUUGUUGGUGAGGUAACGGCUCACCAAGGCGACGAUCAGUAGGGGUUCUGAGAGGAAGGUCCCCCACAUUGGAACUGAGACACGGUCCAAACUCCUACGGGAGGCAGCAGUGAGGAAUAUUGGUCAAUGGGCGAGAGCCUGAACCAGCCAAGUAGCGUGCAGGACGACGGCCCUAUGGGUUGUAAACUGCUUUUAUAUGGGGAUAAAGUGAGCUACGUGUAGUUUAUUGCAGGUACCAUAUGAAUAAGGACCGGCUAAUUCCGUG